CUGGGUCACCUCCCACCCGUGUUUAUUUUACCUUGUUGCUUCGGCGGGCCCGCCUUAACUGGCCGCCGGGGGGCUUACGCCCCCGGGCCCGCGCCCGCCGAAGACACCCUCGAACUCUGUCUGAAGAUUGAAGUCUGAGUGAAAAUAUAAAUUAUUUAAAACUUUCAACAACGGAUCUCUUGGUUCCGGCAUCGAUGAAGAACGCAGCGAAAUGCGAUACGUAAUGUGAAUUGCAAAUUCAGUGAAUCAUCGAGUCUUUGAACGCACAUUGCGCCCCCUGGUAUUCCGGGGGGCAUGCCUGUCCGAGCGUCAUUGCUGCCCUCAAGCCCGGCUUGUGUGUUGGGCCCCGUCCCCCGAUCUCCGGGGGACGGGCCCGAAAGGCAGCGGCGGCACCGCGUCCGGUCCUCGAGCGUAUGGGGCUUUGUCACCCGCUCUGUAGGCCCGGCCGGCGCUUGCCGAUCAACCCAAAUUUUUAUCCAGGUUGACCUCGGAUCAGGUAGGGAUACCCGCUGAACUUAAGCAUAUCAAUAAGGCGGAGGA
rnacentral:rRNA from 1 species